AAAAAUAUUGAAAAGUUGGAUUGUUUGUUUGGUUAGGGAUUUAGAGAAUGGAUGGUGUGGAUUGAUUUUGGUCACCUAUACCCUUACACUUUCAUUCUCUCUAUCCCGUGGCUCUCUCUCUCCUCCAUCCCGACUCUCUCUCUACACACACCCAUACGUACGGACACACCCAAAAAUCUUCCAAACUCGACGGAUCGAGGCAACCAAGGGAAUUCUAAGCUUAUAGUGAGCUUAGUGAGGUCCCAAGGAAGCUCGGAGUGCUUCGUUGGAAGGAUUUGGACGUCGGGAUCACGAGGGUUAAGUUUGGCCGAUUUUGUUUGGAUAUUUCCGGCGGCGAUCGUCAUGACGCCUUGAUGAGUUGUGCUAGGGAGUUGUAGGGCGAACUCCAG